rnacentral:rRNA from 1 species
UACGUAGGGUGCAAGCGUUAAUCGGAAUUACUGGGCGUAAAGCGUGCGCAGGCGGUUUUGUAAGUCUGUCGUGAAAGCCCCGGGCUCAACCUGGGAAUGGCGAUGGAGACUGCAAGGCUAGAAUCUGGCAGAGGGGGGUAGAAUUCCACGUGUAGCAGUGAAAUGCGUAGAGAUGUGGAGGAACACCGAUGGCGAAGGCAGCCCCCUGGGUCAAGAUUGACGCUCAUGCACGAAAGCGUGGGGAGCGAACAGG